rnacentral:rRNA from 1 species
CCUACGGGUGGCAGCAGUGAGGAAUAUUGGUCAAUGGGCGCAAGCCUGAACCAGCCAAGUCGCGUGAGGGAAGACGGCCCUACGGGUUGUAAACCUCUUUUGCCGGGGAGCAAGCCUGAGCACGUGUGCCCAGGCGGAGAGUACCCGGAGAAAAAGCAUCGGCUAACUCCGUGCCAGCAGCCGCGGUAAUACGGAGGAUGCGAGCGUUAUCCGGAUUUAUUGGGUUUAAAGGGUGCGUAGGCGGCCUUUUAAGUCAGCGGUGAAAGUCUGUGGCUCAACCAUAGAAUUGCCGUUGAAACUGGGAGGCUUGAGUAUGUUUGAGGCAGGCGGAAUGCGUGGUGUAGCGGUGAAAUGCUUAGAUAUCACGCAGAACCCCGAUUGCGAAGGCAGCCUGCCAAGCCAUGACUGACGCUGAUGCACGAAAGCGUGGGGAUCAAACAGGAUUAGAUACCCGUGUAGUC